CUCUCAGGUGGGGUGUCUUAAGCAGAAUCAGCACAGCAGGUUUCGUCAAUACCUGAAUUUUUCCCAUCACCUCCAGACUGGACGUGAAAGCACAGGUGAUCGACAAGGGCUACCCCCGCUUGAUAGACCUGACUUUUGGAGGAGUUCCGGUUGAUGCUCAUGACGUCUUCCUAUACAAUGGAAACAUUUACUUCUGUCGGGAUCGGUUCUACUGGAGGAUGAACUCACGGAGGCAGGUGGACCGGGUGGGCUACCUGAAGUACGACGUUCUCAAAUGCCCCGAUUUCUCCAACCAACAAUUCUGAGGCACCACCAUUCAACCUGUCUGGGCUUUCUGGCACCCAGCUCAGACAAAACCAUCUUCUACAGAAUACACUUCUAUAUUUUGUUAAAUAAAUGGCUUAGAACAUGACAGAACAUUCCAGAAAGACUCUGGAAUAGUUAAAUCUCCUUUUCCAGAUAAUUGGGUUCUUCUGUAAUACUCCCAACGGAGUAGUUAAGAUUAAAUAAUUUGUUUUAUUUUUUUAAGUAUUGUUUAACAAUACAGUGUAAUUAGUGAUGCUUAUGAUAACAGGCGCAAUAUCUUUUAUCUUCAUAUGAACCGCUGUUUCUUUACAGUGUCGAUUGUCUCCUCCGUCUACCUUUUGCACUUUUCCGGUACAAACUUGGGAUUACGAAGCAGUAUUGUGCGACUAUAUAAAAUAUUGUGUAUAUUAUUGAAUUAUGCUGAAUAAGUAAUUUUAUACCAGUAUGUAACACAGCAAUGGAUCCGGAGAAAAUCACAUGUAUUUUCUCCUAGGCGAUUUCUAAUGUUUGACAAUGUAAUCCCACCGUAAGCCCAGUGUGGUCAGAGGAAGGUUAUAUACGUUGUAUGAGGUUACAUGGGCAGCUCCUGCUGUUCUAAUACGAUACAUGAGGUUUCGGAUUAUUUAAUUCUGCUUAGCAUUCGCCUGCCUGGGGCAGACGGACCAACGUUUGUUUGAAAACCGUGACUGCUUAAAAUGUUUUAUAUUGUUUUUGUGUAUUUUUGUGUGUUUGUGCUGUGAAGUGAUAACAAUGAAAUGAUCCUCACUUUUGCACUGGAACGCAUGUUACAAAUCAGUCUUGUGAUUAUUUAAUAGGUCACAUACAUUCUGUCACUGUUAGAAUUCCAGUUUUAGGGAAGACUUCAUUAAAAAUCACUUGUGUACUGAGUUAAA